rnacentral:rRNA from 1 species
UACGAAGGGGGCUAGCGUUGCUCGGAAUUACUGGGCGUAAAGCGCGUGUAGGCUGCUUCGCAAGUCGGAUGUGAAAGCCCUGGGCUCAACCCAGGAAGUGCAUUCGAAACUGCAUCGCUAGAAUUGUGGAGAGGUAAGUGGAAUUCCGAGUGUAGAGGUGAAAUUCGUAGAUAUUCGGAAGAACACCAGUGGCGAAGGCGACUUACUGGACACAUAUUGACGCUGAGGUGCGAAAGCGUGGGGAGCAAACAGG